rnacentral:rRNA from 1 species
AUUGAACGCUGGCGGCGGGCCUAACCCAUGCAAGUCGAACGAGUGGCGGACGGGUGAGUAAUGUCUGGUAAACUGCCUGAUGGAGGGGGAUAACUACUGGAAACGGUAGCUAAUACCGCAUACCAUCAGAUGUGCCCAGAUGGGAUUAGCUAGUAGGUGGGGUAACGGCUCACCUAGGCGACGAUCCCUAGCUGGACUGAGAGUAUGACCAGCCACACUGGAACUGAGACACGGUCCAGACUCCUACGGGAGGCAGCAGUGGGGAAUAGUGCCCAAUGGGCGCAAGCCUGAUGCAGCCAUGCCGCGUGUAUGAAGAAGGCCUUCGGGUUGUAAAGUACUUUCAGCGGGGAGGCGUUACCCGCAGAAGAAGCAACGGCUAACUCCGUGCCAGCAGCCGCGGUAAUUC